rnacentral:rRNA from 1 species
AUUGAACGCUGGCGGCAGGCCUAACACAUGCAAGUCGAGCGAGCGGCGGACGGGUGAGUAAUGUCUGGGAAACUGCCUGAUGGAGGGGGAUAACUCCUGGAAACGGUAGCUAAUACCGCAUACCAUCAGAUGUGCCCAGAUGGGAUUAGCUCGUAGUUGGGGUAACGGCUCACCACGGCGACGAUCCCUAGCGGGGCUGAGAGGCUUACCAGCAACACUGGGACAGAGACACGGCCCAGACUCCUACGGGAGGCAGCAGUGGGGAAUAUUGCACAAGGGGAGCAAGCCGGAUGCAGCCAGGCCGCGUGUGUGAAGAAGGCCUUCGGGUUGUAAAGCACUUUCAGCGGGGAGGCGUUACCCGCAGAAGAAGCACCGGCUAACUCCGUGCCAGCAGCCGCGGUAAUUC